AGAAGAAAGAAUGUGAUAUCCCAAAUUGUUUAGGUAAUUUUUAAUUUAAUCAUCUAUAGUUACCUGGGAUGUAUUUUGAAUUUUAAGACUCAAUUGAAUUAUUUUGAAAGAUAAUUCAAUUUAAAUUGAACUUGAUAAAAGGUUUGGAUUUAAUUCCAUUAGUGGAAAUUGGAUUUAAUUUGGAAGGUUGGGAGUUAGGAUUUAUUUUCGUGAUCUAAGAAGGAAAAAAACGGGUAUUUAUGAAUAUAUAUAUAUAUAUAUUAGGGGCUCCUCGGUUAUUGUGAAAAGUAAAAAGGCAGGCCAACUACAAUACCUCUUAAAAAAAAAAAAAAGGAAAAAGGAAAAAAAAAGGAGUUUUCAUCUUCUUCUUCAUGAAGCACCAGUCACCGCCUUAGUCCUCAUGCUGGCGAUCUGCUCAGUCCACCAUCCGCCGCUCAACCUAGUCGAUGCCAGUCGUGAUCUCCGCCAUCGAGUCGCACGUUGUUUGUUGCGUCAGUCAUAGACGUCAGCCAACCACGUGCUCGCGUCCAGUCGCGUCUGGGCUCGCGUCAUUCACGUCGCCAGUCUGUCGCGCGCCACCAAUCAACCGCACCUCCCUGCCCAAUCCACAAUGUCGUCGUGGCUCGCCGAAAUCUUGAGGUUUGAGGCAAGGAUACACGGGCAACUGACAAGAGGAAUCCAUGACAGUGACAAUUCGACCGGACAAAUGCUUUUGCAUACGAGUUCUCGUAUCGUUUUCAUGUUUUUCUGUUUUCGUUUCAUGAUUUAGAUUUUGAUAAAACGUAGGUGUUUGAGAUUUUUUAGUUAAUUUUUCUUAUUUUAAAUUUUAUGUUUUAAAGAUACCCCGAAUUAAAACAUUAUAAAAUUUUGAGUUGUAAUUUUGUUAAAUGGUCCAACUUAUUGAGAAUCCCACAUUGGAAAAACCAAGGGGACUCACACUCUUUAUAGGAUAGAUGGGUUACUCCUCUCA